rnacentral:rRNA from 1 species
GACAAACGCUGGCGGCGUACCUAAGACAUGCAAGUCGAACGGGUGCUUUUCCUUCGGGAGAAGUUGCGAGUGGCGGAUGGGUGAGUAACGCGUAGGAACCUGUCGCAUAGUGGGGGAUAACGCUGGGAAACCGGCGCUAAUACCGCAUGAGGUCAGAGAUGAAGAAAGCGAGCAAUCGCGCUAUGUGAGGGGCCUGCGUCCGAUUAGCUCGUUGGUGGGGUAAAGGCCUACCAAGGCGACGAUCGGUAGCUGGUCUGAGAGGAUGGUCAGCCACACU